UAACCCUAAAAAUUGGGGACAUUUGCAUUGUUGAGCUCCUUUUCUCUGGUUUAAGGAAUUAGAAAGUAUCAGAAGAGCACGGAGCUGUUGAUCCAAAAGCUCUCAUUUCAGAGGUUGGUGAGGAAGAUCGCUAAGGAUUUCAAGACCAUUUUGAGGUUUGGAAGCAGCGCCAUUGCUGUCCUCCAAGAAGCGACGGAGGCGUACCUAGUGGGGCUUUUCAAGGAUACUAAUCUCUAUUCUAUUCAUGCCAAAAUAAAGGAAUGAGCAGCCAUGGUGACUCUUGCACUGCUUCGGGAAGAGAGGGAAUCAAUGCUUUCCACUUUGAUUUGAUGGGAAUAGUUAAUUACGUGUGCCGCUUCUCUACCGUACGGGGAUGACAAGAACCGAUGAGAAAGGGUGAACAGUGAUGGAAGGUCAAGUCUCAAUCACAAACUCAUAGGGUCCCACCUUUCCUUAAAACCAAUGGUCAGGAUUCGUCCUUUACCUUCUGAUUUUCUUUUCUUUAUUGUACGUUGAUUACACUAUGUCCAUCUUGUAAGUUCAGUAUAUCACGUUAUUUCCUUAAAUUAUACUAUUAGUCCCUAAACUUAAUAAAGUUUGAGAUAUAGUUUGUAUAUUUAAACAAUUAAAAGUGUUUUACUUUUUCGGUUUAAAAUUUUUAAUCAAAUUGUUGAAAUCAAAA